UAUAUGUUAAGUGGAAAAGGAUGUGGCGUUGCCCAGACAACUAGGAUGUUGGCUUAGAAGCAGCCAUCAUUUAAAGAGUGCGUAAUAGCUCACUAGUCGAGUGACACUGCGCCGAAAAUGUACCGGGGCUAAACAUAUUACCGAAGCUGUGGAUUGUCCUUUGGACAAUGGUAGGAGAGCGUUCUAAGGGCGUUGAAGCAUGAUCGUAAGGACAUGUGGAGCGCUUAGAAGUGAGAAUGCCGGUGUGAGUAGCGAAAGACGGGUGA
rnacentral:rRNA from 1 species